GGACCCGCACAAGCAGUGGAGUAUGUGGUUUAAUUCGAAGCAACGCGAAGAACCUUACCAGGGCUUGACAUCCCGCGCUAUCUCAAGAGAUUGGGAGUUCCCUUCGGGGACGCGGUGACAGGUGGUGCAUGGUUGUCGUCAGCUCGUGUCGUGAGAUGUUGGGUUAAGUCCCGCAACGAGCGCAACCCUUACCGUCAGUUGCUACAUUAAGUUGAGCACUCUGGCAGGACUGCCGUUGAUAAAACGGAGGAAGGUGGGGACGACGUCAAAUCAUCAUGCCCCUUAUGUCCUGGGCGACACACGUACUACAAUGGCAAAAAACAGAGGGAAGCAAGGCAGCAAUGCGGAGCAAAUCCCAAAAAAUUGUCUCAGUUCAGAUUGCAGGCUGAAACUCGCCUGUAUGAAGUCGGAAUUGCUAGUAAUCGCGGAUCAGCAUGCCGCGGUGAAUACGUUCCCGGGUCUU
rnacentral:rRNA from 1 species